AACAUUUCAAACAAAUUCAAUAAUAUAGAGCAAGAAUAGUAUACCGAUAGAUAUUUAAAGAGUGCUUUAAUUUAUGAAGAGAAAUCAAUUUAAUACAUAAGGUAACUAUCAGAGGUAAAAGAUUUCAUUAGAAGAUACAAUUAACAGAGGUUCAAAAUAGUUUAACAAAGCGUAUAUGACAAAACUUGGGUAUAUCCGAGAUAUUGCAGGAUUCAAUAUUUAUUACAAGAUUUUCAUUCUUUAUUAUGUGUUAGAGAAUAUCGGUCAGCAGAAAAUCAAAUUUUAGUGGCAGUUGUAGAAACAAUAUUAAUCUUAUGAGAAAACUAUUCGGAAACAUUAUAAAUUCCUAUAAAAAGUCAAUAUUCCCUUUUACAGUGGGCAUCAUUUUCAAAAAUAAGAAACUAUUUCAAAAACUAUAUUAAAUGCUAAAAUUAAAGUAUAUGGAUUAUAUUGUUUGUUAGAUCAGAAUAGCAAAUUUUUAGUAGCGGUUACAGAAAUAUUAUCAAUUUUAAUAUUAUCAGAAAAGCAAAUAUUGUGAGAUAAUAUCAUAUGUGAUCGGUUGUGAAUGUGAAAAUAGUAUCAUUGUUUAAAUGGCUAACUCAAUCAAAAAAAAAAAAAAAAAAUCAUAGUAUAACUUACAUUGAACUAACCCUUAAAUGGAACACAUUGUUUAUGUAGACUCAUACUUUGAGUUGAAAACAUUUUACACACAUAAUAAAAAGAAAAUAGACUUUGAUCCGCGCGCCCGCACGGAUAUAUUUUUUCAAAAAUAUGAUGCUAUUUAUUUUUCAUGUCACUUUUAUAAAUCAUAUAUGUGUCAUAACUAAUUGUAUUUUAUACGUACUAUCAUAUAAUUAAUAAUAUUUUAUACGUAC
rnacentral:lncRNA from 1 species